rnacentral:lncRNA from 1 species
AAUCUAAUUUAGCAGCUUUAAACUAAACAGGAAAGAGAAUAAUGCCUAACAGAGAAAUAAGAAAUUAGUAUACGAAGCACCCACACACUCCAAAUGAUGCAUCAAUUUCCAAUAGUUUGGAUCAAGACACAGUCUUCAAACAUCCAGGGGCCUUACUCCACCUCUCCCUUGGGGUACUGCGGACGCUCCCAGUGUGGUUCUCACCCAGAAGGGCUUUAUGUUUUCAUUGUCUCCCUUUAGUUAAAGGCUCUCUAUACCCCAAAUAUUAUUUUCCAUGACUAGAGUGAACUGUCUGCAUCUUAACCAGUUCUACCAUAUUGAACAUUAUUCCUCCUUGGAUGGCAAAGAAGGAUCCAAAGCACUUUGCUUAACAAAUUACAGUAAAUCUUUGGCUCUAGCUUCAUGUACCUAGAACUCCUUCAUAAGCAGUUCCAGAAAAUUUCUUACCUUUGUGCGAACAGUGGCAGAAGUGUCACCCAUGAGCAUGGCAUUUCACCAGCAGCUGCUAAAACAGGUGUAGAGAGGAUUUGUGGCUAAGGGAGGUGAUGUCUGAUUUGAGUAAUUAAGUCAAUUCAUUUUGCAUUAUCAACAGUAAACAUCAUUACACCAGUUAUGUCAACCCCGCUACCUCGUGAUAGUGCUGCAAUCAGAGGCUGAUUGAAACUAAAGACGUAGUUAUUCAAUAAUGGAUGUGAAUGUAGCAAUAUACACAUGCAACAUUAACUUAAUUUAUAAUGCUUUGGGAUGUGGUAAAACAGCAUUCAUUGCCUCCUAUCCCUGUGGCAGGAAGAACAUUGAUGGUGGUGCAUGAAUUGGCCUCAGUGUAACUGUGUGCAUGAUCUGGGCGUUAUAGCACAAUCCUUAUAGAAAGUUUAAUUCUAAGUUCAGAGCAGAGCGCACAUGUUUCCAAGGCAGUCUCCCAUCCAAAAAAGGACUAGGCCCAAACUUCCUGCAGAGACUCAGGCACUAAACUACAUCAAGUGGCUUCAGAUAAUAUCUUUGGCUUGAAUCAAGUAAUUAAGGUUGCAAUCCUAAAGUGGUGGGGAAGGAAGAGCAAAGGCAGACAAAUCACCUCAUCCAAUGCCUUUGUGCUCCUCUGCCCUUUUCUGGGCUUUUCUUUAACCAUUUCUCUCCCAUUACAAAUGAUGAGAGGGAAAUUCUCUCUGCCAGCUCUGGAGCUGGUGCAGCUAUCUCCCUGGUUGCAGGGAGUGCUUUGGAGGCUACAGGCCCUGUGGAUUCAUGCUCCGCUCCAGUCCACACUUUCCGCAUUCCUGAUCCAUCCCAGGCCUACUGCACCAGAGCUCUGAUGUUGCUAGAGCAAGGGCUACAGAGCUUUCUGCAGCCGCGGAGAGGAGGGAUCAGGCAUCAGAUUGGGCCUGAGAUUGGCUCUGGCUCCACCUUCUGUUGGCCUUGCAGCCUUCCACCCUCCCAGUCCCAAUAGGCACCAGUCACCACUGGUUUCUACAGUAGUAGAGAGGAGAAAUCCAACAUCAGAUCAACCUCUCUGGAUUGGACAACACAGAGGCCAGAGGGAGACCUGGGUCACCAGCCCAGGGACCAGAGGAUGGCAAAGCCAUAAAACCUUCUCUCUUCUCAGCGAAUUGUUAUGUUCUUGACGCCCUAUAGCCCAAACUCUUCAUAAUAGACAUUGUUACUUUGUUCACAUAAAAGCUCUCUAGAACAAGAAAUGACUCUUACUCAUUCGCUUGCAGUACAAAAUAAUUCCUAAUUGCAACUUUGCUUUUCAUCUGGAAGAAAAACAAACAUCAUGAGCUAUCAGUAGUAAUUAAAUGAAGAUCGCGUCACACGCUCUAUUAGCUGUAAUAUUCCUGCACGAGUCAAUAUAAAGUUUUAGAGGCACUUUCACAAUUGUUUCUCCCCAGGGAUAUCUCACUCGGUUACAUCUCUUGUCCCCUGAGAACUGCUUGCGUGUUUGUCUGUGCAGCUUUCUGAUUAACUUUUUAUCCUGCUGAAUUUGGCAAUAGAACAGCAUUUGGGUAUGAAUUUUAAUUUGGUAGCAUACUGCAAGCUCGUCUUAGUUAGGGCAUGCAAACCCCUUUUGCAAAGCCACUUCCGGAGUGGCGCCAUCGGCAAUGGCGGACUCCCUCUGAACUGGAGGGACUAGCUCCGCGCGAAACGGGUCUUUUCCGCUAUGGCGAAGCGGGGACCCUUUUAAAAAUCACAGGCGGAUGAAGCCUGUGACCAUGGGACUCGGCGGGCACCCUUAACGCCCCCCCAACCCGCAAAGGAACCCACUAACGGGCUCCGAAGCGAAGAGGGGGAAGUGGCGCAGUGCUGUGAGUCAACUGCUAUUUCCGUGGAGCGAAGCCGCAUAGCCGUUGCCGGAGAGCGCUGCCUUUUUUCCUGGGACAAUUUGGCUUCUAAAAUAAGCACCCGUGAGUACUUAAACUUUGAACAAAUUGGACUUUAAAUAAGGAUUUGCGAGCAGAAAGGAAUUGGAUUUAAAAAUUUACUUCAAUUUGGUACUGAAACGGGAAGGUCUAAACAGGAAGUCAGCCUUCCGUUUCUUUGUAGACAGAAUAAAGCAAAGACAACGUAAACUAAAGCUCAGAAAAUCACUUCUAAAGGAUCGGCUUUCAUCAUUUAAAAUCCUCGAACCCCCCUUCGGCAGCAGGAGAAGAAGGGGGAUCUUUUUUGGACUGUUUAAACCUGCAGAAGUGAGGUUAAAGUAAAGUAACUUUCCACCGUCCUGAUCCUGGAGCGGGGUGUCAGGACUGACGUUUGAAGCUCAUUGACCAGAAACAAACGUUUUUGACAGAUAGCUAAAAGAAGAGAAACAUAGUGAUUCCACUGUUUCCUUUCGCAUUUUAAAGGGACAAAUAUUGACAAAAUAUCUCAAAAAAGAAACUUUGUUGCAAGAACAAUUCGACGUUUUCCCCCUAGAGGGAGACUGGGAAACUGUAACUAAUUACAGGGAGCUUGCAGCUGUCACAGAUUACAAUCGUGGGAAAAGGCUUGUGACCUUGUAGGACAAUGUAUUCAGAAGCUCUGUUGUGUGCUCUCUGUAAAAUAAAUGCUCUACUGGAACAGUUAACUGAGAAGACGGAUUUGAUGACUAAUGCGGUCAGAAUUUUUGAACAGGCAGUGGGAAACUAUAUGGAGCCCACCCAGGAAUUAAAUCAGGAGUGUGCCCUGACAGAACAGAUGAGAGAAGAGGAUGUUGCGGAAUCUUGGGCGCCAGAGAUGGAGGGAGCUGCGGCCCAGCAGGAACAUGAGCUUUUGGAUUUGACAAAUGAACUUGGAAAAAGCCAGAUUAGGAAAGAUAAAGUUUGGAAGACUUCCGGAGGUGGCGCCAGCGGUCGAUGGCGGAUUUCCUCGGCUAGAGGGAAUCAGCGCCACGAAAAAAGGGGUCGGAUCCCGCUUCGGCGCAGCGGGGGACCCUCAAAAAUCACAGGCGGGGGAAGCCUGUGAGCCUGGGACCCAGCGGGCACAUUUGGCGCCCCCCCAACCCGGUAAAAAGCCCAGCAACGGGCUCGAAAUCGGAGCGGGGGAGAGCGCUGUGCUGUGGGCUGUCUGCUCGUUCGUGGUGUGAAGCCGCAAGCUGUUGACCGGAGAGCGCUGCCUUUCUUCCUUGAAAUCCGGACCUGAAAAUCAACGAUCCGUGAGUAGGAUAUAGUCUAAUUGGAACUGUACAAACUGGAAUCUGGCCGAAAACGGAAAGAGGUUUAAAGGAAGUCAGCCUCUUUCCUUGUAGAUAAAAUAAAGCAUUGAACUUGAAAGCGGAAGCAUUUGAAAAGCACGUUUUAGCGGACUUUAAUCCAAUCAUCCAACCUGGACUUUUCCAUCUUUAAAUUGAGGGAAAAGGGGGGAGAAUUGUGGAUGUGAUUUCUUCAUAAAGAAGUGGAAAAGAAGGGAUUAAACCAUCACUCAAUUCCCUGGGAAAGGAUCUCCAGAGGUAACUUAGGAAAGAAAGAGAGGUACUGUCUUGCAAUAUAUUUUGACAGCUAGUCCUGCACAGGAAAUAAAAGUUUGGACAAAUUAUGUGAAUAUAUAUCUCCUGGUCCUAAGUUAAAAAUUGUGAAUAGACUGUUUUCUUCCUGAAUAAACUAGAGGGGCUUAAAAAAGAAACUAAAGUAUCCAAGAACUUUUAUGACUGUUACAGUGUCCCCCUAGUGGAAUUUGGAACUGUUACAACUUGUUAUAAUUGAAACUGUAGCGGGCUUGAGGAGUUCUCACACUGCUUGGUAGGAAAUUUCCACUGUUUAAUUUCAACUACGUGACUGACCUUGAGCAUUAUCUAAGGAAUGGCAGAUGGUAAAGAGAAGGCGGAUGCAUCGACUACAAGAUCGGGGAGGACUAUUCACACAGAAGAAGGAUUACAAAGGAGAUCUUCGGCCUCAGGCCCUUCUGGAACCUCAACAACAGCCUCAUCGGCACAAUUAAAGGUAAAAAGUACGGCAAGUGAUGACGCCUUUGCUCAAGUUUUGGCCAAAGUUAAUGAAUCUUUAAAUAGAAUAAGCCAACAAGUAGCAGAGGCAUGCGACAAGAUUGAUCAAAAUACUGCAAGUAUAAAUAACCUGGGCCAAAAAGGAAAUACUAACACAGAGACUAUUCAGAAAUUAUUAGAGGAAUCGGCCUCAACACGCCAGAUUGCUGAAGAGGCUAAAGAAAUUGCUACAACUUCUGCUACUGAAGUUAAAGAGGUUCAAGAGGAAUUACCAACACUGCAUAAACAAUUGGAAGACCAUAAAUUAACCCUGUCUAUGAUAGAUUUGAAGGAAAAGCAAGUGAAUUUGCGGGUCAGAUCGGUACCUGAGGUGGAAAAGGACAAUCUAGCUGAAUUUCUCACGCAGGAAUUUUUGGACUUUUGGGAUCCAGAACUGGCAAAAGACAGUUUCAGAAUAGUAAAUGCUUUCAGACUUGGGAGAAGAGGAGAGAAGAAGGUGAGAGACUGUCUGAUUACUUUUCGAACAAAAGAAGAGAGGGAUAAGAUUUUGGGCCUACAUUUCAAGAAGACACUGGAAAUCCAUCGGACAAGGGUGGAAAUAUUCAAAGAUAUUCCGAAAUACCUUCUGGAUCUCAGAUCAAAAUACAAAGACUUGGUUACCCUGCUGAGAAGGAACAAUAUCAACUUUAGGUGGGAACUCUCUCAAGGCCUGUCUUUUAGCUACAAAGGAAAGAAGAGGAAAAUAAGAUCGGAAGACGACAAAGACAAAUUUUGCAGAGACCACGGAGAAGACCUACAAAAAGAACUAUUUCCGGAACCAAAAGACCGUUCGAAAGAAGGGAUACCACCGACGGAUGAGGAACAGGCACUAGGUGCAGUAGGAGGAGAACUAAAACAAUAACAUCAUGGCCCUGCAACUUUUAACAUGGAACUGUCGGGGUUUGAAUUCCCCUCAGAAAAGGAAGUCAGUAUUCCAUAUAUUAAAAAAGGAACAAUUGGACCUAAUUUGUUUACAAGAAACACAUAUAACAAGAUUACACAGGAAAUUGUUGAUAAAUAAAAGACUUGGUCAGGAAUUUAUUUCGUCAGAUAAAGUUAAAAAGAGAGGGGUUGUGAUCUACGCAAAAGACAAUUUAUCACCAAAAUUUGUUUUUAAAGAUGACCAAGGAAGAUUUGUGGCAAUUGAAAUUCAAACACAAGGAGAAAAAUUUUUGAUUGUAGGAGUUUACACACCAAAUGACGGGAAAUCUGAUUUUUUUAAGAAGUUGCAUGAGACCCUGAUGGACCAUAUGGAUCACAACAUGAUUCUGAUGGGAGAUAUGAAUGGAGUGGUAUCUACUUAUAUGGACAAGGCACAAAGACAGGUAGUCACCAAAGAUGGUAGACUACCGAAAACCUUUUUUGAUAUGACAGACAACUUGGAUUUAGUGGACAUUUGGAGAAUUAGAAACCCCUUGGCUAAAGAGGGAACUUUCUUUUCUGAAGCCAAAAUGACUUGGACAAGAAUUGACCAAAUUUGGAUAACUAGAGGAAUGGCACCAAAGACAAGAAAGGUGGAAAUCUGCCCGAAAAUUUGCUCCGACCACAAUGCUGUUAAGAUGGAAAUGAGACUAACACCAACUGGCUCCUUCAGAUGGAAGAUGAAUGACACCUUAUUUAGAGAUGAAGAAUUUCUUAAGAAGGCCCAAAAAACUCUAAGAGAUUACUUCGAGAUAAAUCUUAGUUCCAACGUGGAGAAAAGAGUAAUCUGGGAUGCAAGUAAAGCGGUUAUGAGAGGGUUCUUAAUACAACAGAAUGCGAUAAAGAAAAGAACUCAAAAUGAGAAGAAGGAUAAAAUUAUG